rnacentral:lncRNA from 1 species
AGAUUUUUGCAGUCUUUUUUUUUCUCGGAAAGGACCAAAAUUCAUCUAACCUAUUGGAUUGAUGUCAUUAAGCUAUCCGCUCAUAGAAGUACUCAUUGUUAUUUAUGUCCCAAAUAUUCUCCUGAACAAUUUGAGAAGGUCCAAAUAUUCCUCUCACACUAACUGUGAAAGUCAUCUCGAGUUAUAUUUGAACCUUUUCAAUUAUAUAUAAAAUUUAUUCACUUGGCAUAAGACAUAACAGUUGAAAAAUGUCAAAAAAGUAUAGGCAAAAAAAGGUAGAAUACAUAGUUUAACACACUAGAACUUGAGACCAAAUUCGAAAAAAUACAUAAUUUAUUCAUUAAACUUUAGAC